rnacentral:rRNA from 1 species
ACAGAGGGUGCAAGCGUUAUUCGGAAUUACUGGGCAUAAAGAGCGCGUAGGCGGUCUGAUAAGUCUGAUGUGAAAGCCCUGGACUCAAUCCAGGAAGUGCAUUAGAUACUGUUAGACUUGAGUACAGGAGAGGAGAACGGAAUUCCUGGUGUAGAGGUGAAAUUCGUAGAUAUCAGGAGGAACAACAGAGGCGAAGGCGGUUCUCUGGACUGUAACUGACGCUGAGGCGCGAAAGCGUGGGGAGCAAACAGG